GAUGAACGCUGGCGGCGUGCCUAAUACAUGCAAGUCGAGCGAACAGACGAGGAGCUUGCUCCUCUGACGUUAGCGGCGGACGGGUGAGUAACACGUGGAUAACCUACCUAUAAGACUGGGAUAACGUCGGGAAACCGGAGCUAAUACCGGAUAAUAUAUUGAACCGCAUGGUUCAAUAGUGAAAGACGGUUUUGCUGUCACUUAUAGAUGGAUCCGCGCCGCAUUAGCUAGUUGGUAAGGUAACGGCUUACCAAGGCAACGGUGCGUAGCCGACCUGAGAGGGGGAUCGGCCACACUGGAACUGAGACACGGUCCAGCCUCCUACGGGAGGCAGCAGUAGGGAAUCUUCCGCAAUGGGCGAAAGCCUGACGGAGCAACGCCGCGUGAGUGAUGAAGGUCUUCGGAUCGUAAAACUCUGUUAUUAGGGAAGAACAAAUGUGUAAGUAACUAUGCACGUCUUGACGGUACCUAAUCAGAAAGCCACGGCUAACUACGUG
rnacentral:rRNA from 1 species